UUAUUCGGUUGUUUAAAGUGGACGCUUCAGUAGAAGUAAGACGUGGUGCAAUCAAAACUCUUACAAGAUUGAUACCUUGUGUGCAGGUUACUGGACACAUAUCUUCGCUUGUGCAUCACUUGAAGCUUUUCUUGGACGG